rnacentral:rRNA from 1 species
GACGAACGCUGGCGGCGUGCUUAACACAUGCAAGUCGAACGGAAAGGCCCUGCGUUUGUGGGGUGCUCGAGUGGCGAACGGGUGAGUAACACGUGAGUAACCUGCCCUUGACUUUGGGAUAACUUCAGGAAACUGGGGCUAAUACCGGAUAGGAGCUCCUGCUGCAUGGUGGGGGUUGGAAAGUUUCGGCGGUUGGGGAUGGACUCGCGGCUUAUCAGCUUGAUGGUGGGGUAGUGGCUUACCAAGGCUUUGACGGGUAGCCGGCCUGAGAGGGUGGCCGGCCACAUUGGGACUGCGAUACGGCGCAGAAUCCUACGGGCGGCAGCAGUGGGGAAUAUUGCACAAUGGGCGGAAGCCUGAUGCAGCAGCGCCGCGUGCGGGAUGACGGCCUUCGGGUUGUAAACCGCUUUCGCCUGUGACGAAGCGUGAGUGACGGUAAUGGGUAAAGAAGCACCGGCUAACUACGUG